CUUAAUAAAUCCUCACUUGGCGAAAAUCUCUGGAGGACACACAUUGCUGGCAGCGCUGCUUCAGACAGAAAAAUGAGUACGAGUUAAGGACACUGAGAGGGCUGGACCUGGCCGGUAGCGUUGGUGGAGUUCAUGAUGGAGGAGACAGUUUCUCGCUGUGCUUUGUUCAUGAAUGGAUUCAUUUAAGCACCAGAUGUUCGGAGCUUCUGUCUUCCAUGCCAGGCCUCCCCCUUAGGUACUCAGUUGAGAAGAGGACGCAGAUUCCUGUAUGAUACAGUGUAUCUGCUCGGCUGGCUGUGUCCUUGAACCCCAGUGUGUGCAUGGUAAGGAAGACUAUGAUCAACUGCCCCAUUUAAGAGAUGAGGAGGUUCUUUAGCUUGCAUGGAAUGCAGUCUCUGUCUGUGCUGGAAAGUCCUGAGCUCUGCAGCACUGGCACUUGCCUCUGGGAACUGGCAAGUGUGAUAAAUUAGAAGCCUGGAGCAAAAUAUUCGGUUCCAUGCAAUUUAGUUUCUUUCUACUACUUGCUUAAAAUUCUGUGGAACAAUUAAACCUUAAAAGUGUCUUGUGGGUGCCUUGGGCUCCCUUUUCCUUCAA